UGGGGAAUAUUGCGCAAUGGGGGAAACCCUGACGCAGCGACGCCGCGUGAGCGAUGAAGGCCUUCGGGUCGUAAAGCUCUGUUUUAGGGGACGAAUGUCCAGACGAGUAAUAUGCGUUUGGAAUGACGGUACCCUAAGAGGAAGCCCCGGCUAACUCCGUGCCAGCAGCCGCGGUAAGACGGAGGGGGCGAGCGUUGUCCGGAAUUACUGGGCGUAAAGAGCACGUAGGCGGGACUUUAAGUCAGGUGUGAAAGACCGAGGCUCAACCUCGGGAUUGCACUUGAAACUGGAGUUCUUGAGGGCAGGAGAGGAAAGCAGAAUUCCUGGUGUAGCGGUGAAAUGCGUAGAAAUCAGGAGGAAUACCGGUGGCGAAGGCGGCUUUCUGGACUGACCCUGACGCUGAGGUGCGAAAGCGUGGGUAGCAAACAGG
rnacentral:rRNA from 2 species